AUUGAACGCUGGCGGCAGGCCUAACACAUGCAAGUCGAACGAGUGGCGGACGGGUGAGUAAUGUCUGGGAAACUGCCUGAUGGAGGGGUAUAACUUGUGGAAACGGUAGCUAAUCGCGCAUACUAUCGGAUGUGCCCAGAGGGGAUUAGCUAGUCGGGGGGGAAAAGGCUCACCUAGGCGACGAUCCCUAGCUGGUCUGAGAGGAUGACCAGCCACACGGGAACUGAGACACGGGCCAGACUCCUACGGGAGGCAGCAGUGGGGAAUAUUGGACAAUGGGCGAAAGCCUGAUCCAGCCAUGCCGCGUGUGUGAAGAAGGUCUUCGGAUUGUAAAGCACUUUAAGUUGGGAGGCGUUACCAACAGAAGAAGCACCGGCUAACUUCGUGCCAGCAGCCGCGGUAAUAC
rnacentral:rRNA from 1 species